UGCAAGUCGAGGGGCAGCAUGAACUUAGCUUGCUAAGUUUGAUGGCGACCGGCGCACGGGUGAGUAACACGUAUCCAACCUGCCGAUGACUCGGGGAUAGCCUUUCGAAAGAAAGAUUAAUACCCGAUGGCAUAAUUCUUCCGCAUGGUAGAACUAUUAAAGAAUUUCGGUCAUCGAUGGGGAUGCGUUCCAUUAGGUUGUUGGCGGGGUAACGGCCCACCAAGCCUUCGAUGGAUAGGGGUUCUGAGAGGAAGGUCCCCCACAUUGGAACUGAGACACGGUCCAAACUCCUACGGGAGGCAGCAGUGAGGAAUAUUGGUCAAUGGACGAGAGUCUGAACCAGCCAAGUAGCGUGAAGGAUGACUGCCCUAUGGGUUGUAAACUUCUUUUAUACGGGAAUAAAGUGAGGCACGUGUGCCUUUUUGUAUGUACCGUAUGAAUAAGGAUCGGCUAACUCCGUGCCAGCAGCCGCGGUAAUACGGAGGAUCCGAGCGUUAUCCGGAUUUAUUGGGUUUAAAGGGAGCGUAGGCGGACGCUUAAGUCAGUUGUGAAAGUUUGCGGCUCAACCGUAAAAUUGCAGUUGAUACUGGGUGUCUUGAGUACAGUAGAGGCAGGCGGAAUUCGUGGUGUAGCGGUGAAAUGCUUAGAUAUCACGAAGAACUCCGAUUGCGAAGGCAGCUUGCUGGACUGUAACUGACGCUGAUGCUCGAAAGUGUGGGUAUCAAACAGGAUUAGAUACCCUGGUAGUCCACACAGUAAACGAUGAAUACUCGCUGUUUGCGAUAUACAGUAAGCGGCCA
rnacentral:rRNA from 1 species